AUUGAACGCUGGCGGCAGGCCUAACACAUGCAAGUCGAGCGAGCGGCGGACGGGUGAGUAAUGUAUGGGGACUGCACGAUAGAGGGGGAUAACUACUGGAAACGGUGGCUAAGACCGCAUACUAUCGGAUAACCCAUAUGGGAUUAGAUAGUAGGUGGGGUAACGGCUCACCUAGGCGACGAACUCUAGCUGGUCUGAGAGGAUGAUCAGCCCUACUGGGACGGAGCCACGGCCCAGACUCCUACGGAGGCAGCAGUGGGGAAUAUUGCCCAAUGGGCGCAAUCCUGAUACAGCCAUUCCGCGUGUAUGAAGAAUGCCUUAGGGUUGUAACGUACUUUCAGCGGGGAGGCUUUACCCGCAGAAGAAGCACCGGCUAACUCCGUGCCAGCAGCCGCGGUAAUAC
rnacentral:rRNA from 1 species